AGCCUGUUAACUCAGUUGGAAGAGUGCCCGGCCUACACCCGGGAUGCGGGGGUUCGAGACCCUCACGGGCUA
rnacentral:tRNA from 1 species